UACGUAGGGGGCAAGCGUUGUCCGGAAUCAUUGGGCGUAAAGCGCGUGUAGGCGGCUCAGUAAGUCCGCUCUGAAAGCCCGGGGCUUAACCCCGGGAGGCGGGUGGAUACUGCUGAGCUUGAGUCCGGAAGAGGCGAGUGGAAUUCCCGGUGUAGCGGUGAAAUGCGCAGAUAUCGGGAGGAACACCAAUGGCGAAGGCAGCUCGCUGGGACGUGACUGACGCUGAGACGCGAAAGCGUGGGGAGCGAACAGG
rnacentral:rRNA from 1 species